CUCCCAGAACCCGGCGCAUUGCUGCGCACAUGCACAGGUCGAUCGGCGAUAGAUAGCUUCGGCCUGGAGAGGCGUGCUGCAGACACGGAGCGGCGCAGCCUGGGAGCAGUAGAAGCCGCGGGUGAGGCUUACAGUCACUCAGCACAGCGUCGGCGGUGUGUGUACCGGCCCUGCUUCCAUGUCUGCAUCAGGAAAGAGAACACUGAACGAUCCCUAGCAAAUAUAUUGACACAGCAGCCCGCUCCUCACCGUACCAACUGCACCGCUACGGUCACCCAGACUGACAUCACGGAGCUGAGACACAGAAUGCUGCAGGUACAGCCUUGGGAUGUAUUAAUGAGCACAAUAGCAACAUCAGGGGGAUGAAAAUCAGGUCGUAGGAUGGGAAUAGAAUGCGGAUUUGGAUGAAGAAACAAUAAAAGACUUACAAGGCCGAA